CUCUGGUCCCGGGCAUGAGCUGAGGAAUUCGCGUGUGUGCUGAACUCCUCGGAACCAUGGCGUCCCUUUCCCUUGCACCUGUUAACAUCUUCAAGGCUGGGGCUGAUGAAGAGAGGGCAGAGACUGCUUGUCUUUCUUCUUUUAUUGGUGCCAUCGCUGUUGGAGACUUGGUAAAGAGCACAUUAGGACCUAAGGGCAUGGAUAAAAUUCUGUUAAGCAGUGGACGAGAUGCCUCUCUUAUGGUAACCAAUGAUGGUGCAACUAUUCUAAAAAACAUCGGUGUAGACAAUCCAGCAGCUAAAGUUUUAGUUGAUAUGUCAAGAGUUCAAGAUGAUGAAGUUGGUGAAGGCACUACCUCUGUUACUGUCUUAGCAGCAGAAUUACUAAGGGAAGCAGAAUCUUUGAUUGCAAAAAAGAUUCACCCACAGACCAUCAUUGCGGGUUGGAGAGAAGCCACAAAGGCAGCAAGACAAGCUCUGUUAAAUUCUGCAGUUGAUCAUGGUUCUGAUGAAGUUAAAUUCUGCCAAGAUUUAAUGAACAUUGCGGGAACAACAUUAUCCUCAAAACUUCUUACUCAUCACAAAGACCAUUUUACUCAGUUAGCUGUAGAAGCUGUUCUCAGACUGAAAGGUUCUGGUAAUCUGGAGGCAAUUCACAUCAUCAAGAAGCUAGGAGGAAGUCUGGCAGAUUCCUAUUUAGAUGAAGGCUUUCUGUUGGAUAAAAAAAUUGGAGUAAAUCAACCAAAGCGAAUUGAAAAUGCUAAAAUUAUCAUUGCAAAUACUGGUAUGGAUACAGACAAAAUAAAGAUAUUUGGUUCUAGGGUAAGAGUUGAUUCUACAGCAAAGGUUGCUGAAAUAGAACAUGCCGAAAAGGAGAAAAUGAAGGAGAAAGCUGAACGAAUUCUUAAACAUGGGAUAAAUUGCUUUAUUAACAGGCAGUUAAUUUACUCAUGA